rnacentral:other from 1 species
GUUCCUCUGUCUCUCUCGUGAUGCAAACGAUGAAUCCCUUACAAGCACGAACCAGGGUUGCAAGCGUUGUUCGGUGUGCACGCCGGACUGCAUGUUCGCAUGCAGAUAAAUCGGAAGCCUGAAGAGCGGCGAUGAGCAUCCCACCUAGCGUAUUUCGCUAGGGGUUCAACGCACGCACACGAAGAGAUGGAGGGGCA